rnacentral:rRNA from 1 species
CUUCCGGAGCUACGCGUUAAGUCGCACCGCCUGGGGAGUACGGCCGCAAGGUUAAAACUCAAAUGAAUUGACGGGGGCCCGCACAAGCGGUGGAGCAUGUGGUUUAAUUCGAUGCAACGCGAAGAACCUUACCUACUCUUGACAUCCACAGAAUUUGGCAGAGAUGCCUUAGUGCCUUCGGGAACCCUGAGACAGGUGCUGCAUGGCUGUCGUCAGCUCGUGUUGUGAAAUGUUGGGUUAAGUCCCGCAACGAGCGCAACCCUUAUCCUUUGUUGCCAGCGAUUCGGUCGGGAACUCAAAGGAGACUGCCGGUGAUAAACCGGAGAGAAGGUGGGGAUGACGUCAAGUCAUCAUGGCCCUUACGAGUAGGGCUACACACGUGCUACAAUGGCGCAUACAAAGAGAAGCGACCUCGCGAGAGCAAGCGGACCUCACAAAGUGCGUCGUAGUCCGGAUCGGAGUCUGCAACUCGACUCCGUGAAGUCGGAAUCGCUAGUAAUCGUGGAUCAGAAUGCCACGGUGAAUACGUUCCCGGGCCUUGUACACACCGCCCGUCACACCAUGGGAGUGGGUUGCAAAAGAAGUAGGUAGCUUACCUUCGGGAGGGCGCUUACCCUUUGUGAUUCAUGACUGGGGUGAAGUCGUAAC